rnacentral:rRNA from 1 species
UACGUAGGGGGCAAGCGUUGUCCGGAAUCAUUGGGCGUAAAGAGCGCGUAGGCGGCCCGAUAAGUCCGCUGUGAAAGUCAAGGGCUUAACCCUUGAAUGCCGGUGGAAACUGUCGGGCUAGAGUCCGGAAGAGGCGAGUGGAAUUCCUGGUGUAGCGGUGAAAUGCGCAGAUAUCAGGAGGAACACCAAUGGCGAAGGCAGCUCGCUGGGACGGUACUGACGCUAAGGCGCGAAAGCGUGGGGAGCGAACAGG